UAUAAAAUAAUAGAAAGAUAUGUUCUAUAUGUAAUUGAUGAAAUUAAUGAUAAAAAAUAGUUUGGAUUAUAAAGAAAACAUUUUUAAAUUAACUGCUAUUUUAAACGUUAGUUACGAUAUACUAAAUAACAUAUCGGUUAAAAUAUAUAAAGUAAGUUUAUGCGCCUGCAAAAAGGGGUGUGAGAAAUAGACCGCAUGGAAAUCUCCCUUAUUUUAUUUUUUUUUUUUUUUAUUUAUUAUUAUUAUUAUUAUUAUUUUUUUUUUUUUUCACAUUAAUGUGUUUACAUAUAGGGAUAGGAUCAAUGCGCCUACGCGUGUUUACUUAUACAUUUAUAUGUGUUUAUAUGGUCAUACAUUUACAUGGUUAUACGUUUACAUGGUUAUACGUUUACAUGGUNNNNNNNNNNUUAUACAUUUACAUGGUUAUACGUUUACAUGGUUAUACGUUUACAUGUUUAUACAUUUACAUGGUUAUACGUUUACAUGGUUAUUUUUUUUUUUUUUUUUUGUGACUUUUACAGGAAUACAUAAAAGAUCAAAAGUUAAACAGUAUAAACUCUUUAGAUGAUUUUUUCCAAUUUUUGUUUAACAUGAGUAAAGAAAAACAAAAAGAAAUUGUAUUGGCACAUUUAGAAAAACAAAUACAGGAGUAUUUAAAAAGUAAUAUAGAGUACCAGGAUAAAAUGCAAAAAGUACAUGAUGUCAUUUUUUUUAUAAAUAAUAAUUUACAUAUUCAGAAAAAUGUGUUUAAUAUAUCAUACAUAAGUUCUGAAACAGUUUAUGAGUUUUUAACAUCUUGUAUUAAUGACUAUUUGAAUAAUAAUAAAAAUAAACUAUCCUUUAUGGAGGACCAUAACAAGUAUAUAGUGGAUUUAAGAAAAUAUAUAGACAAAAUUAUGAUUAUGAUAAAAGGAAAAGAAGAAAAUCAUCACCUUCAACAUAUUUUUAACAUUUUGAAAAGAGACAUAAUAAAAAAGGCUAUCUACUUUUUGGACAAAUUUAAAUAUGAUGUGUGCGUAGAAGAAAUUUACAACUUAAUUAAGCUUCAAAUGGUUGAUGAAAAAAAUAAUUUCUCCGAUAUAGAUAUUUAUAAAAGAAAAAAAUUGAUCAACAUUUUCUCAUACCAAGAUAUUAGCGAUGAAAAAAAGAUGCUUUACAUGGAUAUUCUGAAUAAAGCCUUGUUGUAA
rnacentral:lncRNA from 1 species